rnacentral:rRNA from 1 species
GACGAACGCUGGCGGCGUGCUCAACACAUGCAAGUCGAACGGAAAGGCCCUUCGGGGUACUCGAGUGGCGAACGGGUGAGUAACACGUGGGUGAUCUGCCCUGCACUUUGGGAUAAGCCUGGGAAACUGGGUCUAAUACCGAAUACACCCUGCUGGUCGCAUGGCCUGGUGGGGGAAAGCUUUUGCGGUGUGGGAUGGGCCCGCGGCCUAUCAGCUUGUUGGUGGGGUGAUGGCCUACCAAGGCGACGACGGGUAGCCGGCCUGAGAGGGUGUCCGGCCACACUGGGACUGAGAUACGGCCCAGACUCCUACGGGAGGCAGCAGUGGGGAAUAUUGCACAAUGGGCGCAAGCCUGAUGCAGCGACGCCGCGUGAGGGAUGACGGCCUUCGGGUUGUAAACCUCUUUCAGCACAGACGAAGCGCAAGUGACGGUAUGUGCAGAAGAAGCACCGGCCAACUACGUGCCAGCAGCCGCGGUAAUACGUAGGGUGCGAGCGUUGUCCGGAAUUACUGGGCGUAAAGAGCUCGUAGGUGGUUUGUCGCGUUGUUCGUGAAAACUCACAGCUUAACUGUGGGCGUGCGGGCGAUACGGGCAGACUAGAGUACUGCAGGGGAGACUGGAAUUCCUGGUGUAGCGGUGGAAUGCGCAGAUAUCAGGAGGAACACCGGUGGCGAAGGCGGGUCUCUGGGCAGUAACUGACGCUGAGGAGCGAAAGCGUGGGGAGCGAACAGGAUUAGAUACCCUGGUAGUCCACGCCGUAAACGGUGGGUACUAGGUGUGGGUUUCCUUCCUUGGGAUCCGUGCCGUAGCUAACGCAUUAAGUACCCCGCCUGGGGAGUACGGCCGCAAGGCUAAAACUCAAAGGAAUUGACGGGGGCCCGCACAAGCGGCGGAGCAUGUGGAUUAAUUCGAUGCAACGCGAAGAACCUUACCUGGGUUUGACAUGCACAGGACGCCGGCAGAGAUGUCGGUUCCCUUGUGGCCUGUGUGCAGGUGGUGCAUGGCUGUCGUCAGCUCGUGUCGUGAGAUGUUGGGUUAAGUCCCGCAACGAGCGCAACCCUUGUCUCAUGUUGCCAGCACGUUAUGGUGGGGACUCGUGAGAGACUGCCGGGGUCAACUCGGAGGAAGGUGGGGAUGACGUCAAGUCAUCAUGCCCCUUAUGUCCAGGGCUUCACACAUGCUACAAUGGCCGGUACAAAGGGCUGCGAUGCCGUGAGGUGGAGCGAAUCCUUUCAAAGCCGGUCUCAGUUCGGAUCGGGGUCUGCAACUCGACCCCGUGAAGUCGGAGUCGCUAGUAAUCGCAGAUCAGCAACGCUGCGGUGAAUACGUUCCCGGGCCU